UUGACUUUAUUACUCGAGUGAAUGCACCUUCAAACCGGUUUAACACCAACAUGUCACAGUAAUCAAUACCAUCUGUGUUAAGAUGUCGGGAAUGUGUUAGACGAAUGAUUUUGUUUUAUGGAGCUUUGAAGAGCGAUGAAUGGCACUAAAGUGGUGCCAAAUGGAUAUCUCAAACACCCAUUGUUGAUGUGUGAUGCUGAUAAUACAGAGACAGCUAGAGUGACAGAGUUUGAUGAAUAAACUUAAAUUAAAAAACAGAAAUAACCACCAUCUCUCUCAGAGGUCAUCUUUCUCAUUAUUGUGGGAAACCUCAAAGGGCAUCAGGAAAACCUUCAUCAACCUCUUUGUGCCCAGUGGCUUGUGCAACAGUGUUUCAGAAAUUAUCAUUAAAAUGGGGAUAAUGGAUGACUGGCCACACAUAUGGGGCUAUGGACAAGCUUCAGAGCAGGCUGCCAGGUGGUGGUGUUAGUAGUUUAUACUUCGGGUCCCGGCGUGAGCACAUUGAAGGGUCCCAGAGUGACAGUUCAACCACCCACACCUAUCCUGGGCAGAACCAGUACUAGGUGCCUUCACCUCUGCAAGGAACUGACAGCUUCUGUACAUGCCAGGUGCAGUGGUACAGUGCGAAUGGUCGUAGAAAGGAUUUCAUAACCAAUCACAACAGAGGUCACCUGGUCCGCCCGGGAAUCGAACCCGGGAUGUCCAAUUCAGAGUCCAACGCUCUACCGAUUGAGCUGACCGGGCGGACAUAUUAGCUACAUUAGAUGACAAGCCAUCUAUGCUGGACAUUCUUCACAAUAAAAUGUGAUGUCACAGGAGCUGUCUAUCUCAACAGCUCACACUGUCCGUAUUUGACUAAAGGAAUGAAUGAAGUCACUGCAGAAGUUAGAUUGAGGAAUGUCCAUGUCACUACCCAUCAUUUGGAAGGAGUUGGAUAAAAAAAGUGUGGCCUAUGUAUUGAAACAGGUCCGAUUUCCAGUUACGGACAGUCUUGAUUUGUCUGAUUACAUUUUUGACCAACAUGAUGGUCUAAAAGAACACUUACUGGUAACUGGUAAAAUCAUGGCCCAGUUGUUCCAAGAGGCAGGCGAGUGGGAAGUUACUAGACUCCAUUUCUUUAUGGGUUGAUCUGAGGUUCCAGUUCAGUUAAAGUACUGAUAGAACACCAAGUGUUUGCCAUAAUACAGCAACAUUUCAUUUGUAACUAUGUAUUUGUUUGAAUUGUUGAAACAGUACUGUUUACUAAAUAAUGUGUAUGUAUAUGAAGAAUAAUAUUAUAAAUAAUUUGUAAGAACCUUUUGAUAUUAAGUAAAAUGUCGAUAAGUCUAAAUAUGUAUCUGCGAAUCAUUUUUGUAUAUCUGUAAAGAUUACAUUGCCUAUAUUCCUCAAUUUAUAUUUUUCUUUUAGCCAGUCAAUAACUUUGUUAAGUUCUAUCUUCAAAAUUGUCGGGACAGGGAUUAUAGCCCUUAAUUAACCCAAAUAUGUAACAUUCAAUGCAAAAUUGGCUGCAAUUAGGCAGUUCAGAUGCAGGAACAAACAUCACUUGGGUCCUUAAUAAUAGCUUUCCAUCUGACAUUGAAGAUCCAAUAAAAGGAAUUUGUCAUGUGACUGUUUAUUAACUCUCAAUUUAUUGAAAGUGAAAUUACUUACAUGAUUUGUAAGAACUAAAUUAUAAUGAUAUCAAAUGAUUGUUUAAAUUAAAUAAAAUAGAUGAUUACAUACAUGAACUAUUUUUAUUUCUUGUUUGUCAAUAUGAAGAGUAAUGCAAUGGCUUUUGAAUUUCAUAAAAAAGGAUGGAAAAAUGUAUGUUUAUUGUUUAAGCAAUUAAUUAAGUAAUAAAAGUUGUUUUUUUUCUUUUUUUCAAAUUGUGCUAUCUUAUAAUACAGAUCGUUAUUUGUUUAAUUUUGGUACAAAUGAAGUAUAUAAGGUAUGUCUAAUGUUACAAAUAGCAAAAAUUCAAAUGCAAAUCAUGGUGACUUGACUAAAUGUGAAUGCUAAUUGAAUCAAAAUAGUUAAUAAAUAAUAAUGUUCA